rnacentral:rRNA from 1 species
UGCAGGCUGAAACUCGCCUGUAUGAAGUCGGAAUUGCUAGUAAUGGCAGGUCAGCAUACUGCCGUGAAUACGUUCCCGGGCCUUGUACACACCGCCCGUCACACCAUGAGAGUUGGGAAUACCCGAAGCCUGUGAGCUAACGAAAGAGGCAGCAGUCGAAGGUAGAAUCAAUGAUUGGGGUGAAGUCGUAACAAGGUACC